rnacentral:sRNA from 1 species
AAUUGCAAAAGAGGAGUUUGAUGCGAU